AAGUCGUAACAAGGUAACCGUAGGUGAACCUGCGGUUGGAUCAUUAAUGAACUUGAGCAGCGAUGCUCAUUAAAGGCCUCGAGUCCUUGGACUCUUGGCUGGAACCUAUUGUGAACUUAUCAGCCCUUGCCAACUUUAUUGUUGGUAUUGGCCUUGAACCUUGUAAUUUGCAGUCUUAUCAAUUUAAAAUUGAAACAACUUUUGACAACGGAUCUCUUGGCUCUC
rnacentral:misc_RNA from 1 species